rnacentral:rRNA from 1 species
AGUGAACGCUGGCGGUAGGCCUAACACAUGCAAGUCGAACGGCAGCGCAGUAAGAGCUUGCUCUUACGGGUGGCGAGUGGCGGACGGGUGAGGAAUACAUCUGAAUCUACUUUUUCGUGGGGGAUAACGUAGGGAAACUUACGCUAAUACCGCAUACGACCUACGGGUGAAAGCAGGGGAUCUUCGGACCUUGCGCGAUUGAAUGAGCCGAUGUCGGAUUAGCUAGUUGGCGGGGUAAAGGCCCACCAAGGCGACGAUCCGUAGCUGGUCUGAGAGGAUGAUCAGCCACACUGGAACUGAGACACGGUCCAGACUCCUACGGGAGGCAGCAGUGGGGAAUAUUGGACAAUGGGCGCAAGCCUGAUCCAGCCAUACCGCGUGGGUGAAGAAGGCCUUCGGGUUGUAAAGCCCUUUUGUUGGGAAAGAAAAGCAGCAGGUUAAUACCCCGCUGUUCUGACGGUACCCAAAGAAUAAGCACCGGCUAACUUCGUG